GAUGAACGCUAGCGGCAGGCCUAAUACAUGCAAGUCGAACGAUACCAGAGAGCUUGCUUUCUGGGAAAGUGGCGCACGGGUGCGUAACACGUAUGGAAUCUGCCCUUUACUGGGGAAUAGCCCUCCGAAGGGAGGAUUAAUGCCCCAUAACAAGUCGAGUGGCAUCACUUGGCUUUGAAAGCUCCGGCGGUAAAGGAUGACCAUGCGCACGAUUAGCUAGUUGGUGAGGUAACGGCUCACCAAGGCUACGAUCGUUAGGGGGCCUGAGAGGGUUAUCCCCCACACUGGUACUGAGACACGGACCAGACUCCUACGGGAGGCAGCAGUGAGGAAUAUUGUGCAAUGGAGGCAACUCUGACGCAGCCAUGCCGCGUGCAGGAAGAAGGCGCUACGCGUUGUAAACUGCUUUUAACCGGGAAGAAACCCCAGGACGUGUCCUGGGUUGACGGUACCGGAGGAAUAAGCACCGGCUAACUUCGUGCCAGCCGCCGCUGUAACAC
rnacentral:rRNA from 1 species